GUGUCAGCAGCCGCGGUAAUACGUAGGGCGCAAGCGUUGUCCGGAAUUAUUGGGCGUAAAGAGCUCGUAGGCGGCUUGUCACGUCGGGUGUGAAAGCCCGGGGCUUAACCCCGGGUCUGCAUUCGAUACGGGCUAGCUAGAGUGUGGUAGGGGAGAUCGGAAUUCCUGGUGUAGCGGUGAAAUGCGCAGAUAUCAGGAGGAACACCGGUGGCGAAGGCGGAUCUCUGGGCCAUUACUGACGCUGAGGAGCGAAAGCGUGGGGAGCGAACAGGAUUAGAAACCCUUGUAGUCC
rnacentral:rRNA from 1 species